CCUACGGGGGGCUGCAGUGGGGAAUAUUGGACAAUGGGGGGAACCCUGAUCCAGCCAUGCCGCGUGUGUGAAGAAGGCCCUCGGGUUGUAAAGCACUUUCAGUGAGGAAGAACGCCUGGUGGUUAAUACCCAUCAGGAAAGACAUCACUCACAGAAGAAGCACCGGCUAACUCCGUGCCAGCAGCCGCGGUAAUACGGAGGGUGCGAGCGUUAAUCGGAAUUACUGGGUGUAAAGCGCGCGUAGGUGGCUUGAUAAGCCGGUUGUGAAAGCCCCGGGCUCAACCUGGGAACGGCAUCCGGAACUGUCAAGCUAGAGUGCAGGAGAGGAAGGUAGAAUUCCCGGUGUAGCGGUGAAAUGCGUAGAGAUCGGGAGGAAUACCAGUGGCGAAGGCGGCCUUCUGGACUGACACUGACACUGAGGUGCGAAAGCGUGGGUAGCAAACAGGAUUAGAUACCCUAGUAGUC
rnacentral:rRNA from 1 species